GUUAGAGGGGCCGUGUCUCAGCUCUGCCACCCACGUCUCAGCCCACUCGCACUCGAUUGGACAGAAUGUUAAAGAAAACUCAGAACAUAAAUCUGGGUGGGGAGAGCUAAGAACUCUACAUUAUGUUCUGUCUCGUUUCUUUUUUUAUAGCUCAUCAUAACCUAUGCCUAUUUUUCCCUUUGAAUCUUUCAUAGAUUCCAGUCAUAGGCCAGAUUCAAGACUCAACCCCAAUUAUUGGGUAUAAGAGACACAAUAGGUAUUCAAUAAACAUCGGUUGAAUUGAAUUAAAUGGGAUUGAAAUUGGCCCCACUAAGACAUAGAUCUCUUAGGGGUUGUUUGGCUGCAAAAACCAGAAAUCUAGAUGACUAGCUAAAGCUAAACAAGAAAAUUUACUGUAAGGAUACAUGGAUUUCUUUAUGAGAAAAUGCAAAAGGAAGUGGAAACUUACCAGGAAUGAAAGAGAAUGCUGUUUAUAAUUUUUAGGGAGCAUUGAGGUCAAGGAUCUGCCUCACUAUCCUUCCACCUUUGGCUCUGCUUGCAGUGGCUCUGGUUCUAUCCAUGCUUUUACUAAGCCUGCAAAUUCUGUAAAGCAGGAAACUACAAAAACGUUACAAAAGGCUCUGUCAAAAGAUUCUUCAAGUGAUUAAGGAUAGCACACUCUGCAUAGGAAAUGAAGCCCUCGGAGAGAUUUGAAGAAGCCCUUGGAGAGAUUUGAGAUAUCCCUAACGGAGAAAGAAUUGACCUUCAUUAUCUCAGGAAGGCUUUUGACAUAAAAGAGAAAGAGAAGAAACUGAUUACUUAAAGAGGAGAGAGAGCUGUAAAGAGAACUACGAGGAUGAGCAUCAGGCUUAAAGUGGCUUAAUUUAUAAACGGAUAAUUUAAAAAUAGAAUUGGAACAUUAAGCCUUAAUAUGACCUAUACUCCUCGCAAUCCAGAAGUGAAGGGAGAAAUGUGGACAUGAGAGGGGCACAGAGGAAGACUACCUGAAGACACACAGAGAGAAGGUGACCACGUGGUUGGAGUGGAGCAUCUACAAACCAACACACAUACCAAGGAUUGCUGGCAAGUAUCACCAGAAGCUAGAAGAGGCAAGAAAGGAUUCUCCCCAAAGCUGUCAGCAAAAACACAGCACUGAUGGUACCUUGAUUUCAGACUUUUAGCCCCGAAACUGUGAGAGAGUAAAUUUCUGUUGUUUUAGGUGACCUGUUUUUUGGAAUUUGUUAUGUCAACUGUAGGAAAUGGAUAUUGUACAACGAUUGGGGCAUGACUUUGCAAUGGUUUACCUGCUCUCAGAUGAAAAUUUUUUUUUUUUGUUUUUUUUUUAGAUGGAGUCUUGCUCUGUUGCCCAGGCCAGAGUGUAGUGGUGCCAUCUUGGCUCACUGCAACCUCUACCUCCCGGGUUCAAGCGAUUCUCCUGCCUCAGCCUCCCGAGUAGCUGGGACCACAGCACACCACCAGGCCUGGUGAAUUUUUGUAUUUUUAGUAGAGAAAGGGUUUCACCAUGUUGGCCAGGCUGGUCUCAAACUCCUGACCUCAAGUGAUCUGCUCGCCUCAGCUUCCCAAAGUGCUGGGAUUACAGGUGUGGGCCACCACACCCUGUCUCAGAUGAAAGGUUAAUAUAAUUAAGGAACAUCUUUUUUGUUUUUUUUUUCAGAAAUUGGAAUGGGGGAGUAGCUGAACAGAAAAGUCCAUCUUGUUCAAUUCCCACAAGAACAUUUCUUUGCAAUAUUAUUGGCAGGAAUAUGCAGUAAAGUUCUAAUAACUAUUUACUCCUUUCUUUGAAACUCUAUUCAGUUAUAAUGUGUCCUGUAAAAAGUAUGACACUGAUUUCAUAGUACCAAUUUUAGCCUAAUACAUAUUUAAAUGAUUCCCAAUGUAUAAAGAUAUUUUAGUAAUAAGAAAUUAUUUAAGGAUCCCAAACAUCACAAUAAACAUAAAGCCUAGUUUUAGGUUGCAAAAAAGUAUCAAACUUUAUAAGUUUUAGUGCAAAUUAAGAGAAAUUACAUUCUAACUACACUAAUAACUGAAAACUUCAUAUUAGGCAAAUAAUGUCUUCAACUACUCAAAUUAUAGGAGCCCACUUCAAGAACCUCAGUAAGAAGAAAUUUUGAAUGGUUUAAAAAUAAUAAAUGCCAUGACAUUUUAAAUGGAAAUUUGGCAUAUUUUUGAGAUAAAUAUGAUUGGAUACAUGUGUGUGCCAUUCUUUUAUCUCUUCUUACUUUUACUGUAUCUCUACUUUAAUGAUGACAAUAAUAUGGCUACAGACAUGAAAUGGUUUAUCUUUCUUCUUUUCUUUCACUCUUUCAUUUAAAGCAUUUAUAUUAUUUUUUAUUGAUGUCAAUGUUAACAUUUUGGCAUCCUUCCCAAGUAUAUUGCAAGAAAUACAUCAAUAAAAACUUAAAUUUAAAAAAUAUGUAGUCUGGGGCCAGAUAAUAAUGGCAUAUUUCUUUAAAAUUAGGUAUAAAGGAGUACAGACGAGGUCAAAAUUCUAAAAUUGGAAUCUUGCCAUUAACAAACAGAACUGACAUUCUGAUACUUCUAUCUGCUGUGGACGUGACACAGAGACUUACCAAAGCCAAGAUACAUUUAUUCAAGGAGGAGCAACUUGCCUUUAUACUUAUACCUUUGUUAAUAACUUGUUUAAAGCAAUCCUUUGUUUUCUUUGCAUAUUUGAAUUGAUUUGCUAAAAGUUAUCUACUGUUAAAUAAGCAAAACUCAAAAUUUUCAAGCAUAUGGGACUUGUUCAGAAUCAGUUUUUAGUUUCUUUUUCAGGAUUUUGUACAAGUUGCAAGAGAAGAGACACAAAAUUAUCUUAUUAAUUCUAUUGCAAUAUGGAGAUACAUUUUAAACAAAUGGAAAUAAUCAAUAUUAGUAUUAUCUGUAUAUUUGUGUGUGUGUGUGUUGAUCUGACUAUAUUUUUCUUCAAAGGGAAAUCACAAAGGCCAAGUGUGUUUAUCAGGUAACUCACCUUAAGAAAACUUGUACUAUGUGAAAAGUCAAUUUCUUUAAAAACUGUCACCAACUCAACCCUGGUUUGUAAGUAGAAAAAACUAUCAAUUAUUUUUUAACAAUAGUAAUACUCCCAAGGUAUAUACUUCUGCCACAAAAAAUUAAGAAUAGUUUACUUAGCACGUUUUGUCAUUGUGGAAAUCAUUGAGAAAAAUCACAGUGGAAAGUUAUUUGAAAAGGCAUAACUGUCAUUAGAAAGAAAUUAAGAAUAAAGAAGGCAGGCCUGGCGUGGUGGCUCAUGCCUGUAAUCCCAGCACUUUGGGAGGCUGAGGUGGGUGGAUCUCCUGAGGUCGGGAGUUCAAGACCAGCCUGACUAACAUGGAGAAACCCCAUCUCUACUAAAAAUACAAAAUUAGCCGGGGUGGUGGCACAUGCCUGUAAUCCCAGCUACUCGGGAGGCUGAGGCAGGAGAAUUGCUUGAACCCAGGAGAUGGAGGUUGCGGUGAGCUGAGAUGGUGCCAUUGCACUCCAGCCUGGGCAAAAAGAGUGAAACUCCACCUAAAAAAAAAAUAAAAAUAAUAAAAAAAUAAAGCAGUAAAAACAAAAUGUUUGCAUGUGUCAUUAUCUUUGUAUUGGUCGUCUAUUUUGUAAACUUUCAUCAUUACUUUAAGCAUUUCAGGCCACUUCUUCAGUCAUUAUUGUUGAUUAUCAUUUAGUCCUCCAAUUCCAUCAGAGUGUGCUAAGGUAGUAAAAUGAAAUUAGGCACAAUGCAUGGCAGAAGGUAUAGCAAUUUGAAAUGUCUUCCAAAAUCAAUUAGAUAUUACUUUGGGUUAGCAGUGGAGGUGGGAACAUAGUUACAGGUAAUUGAGAAUUGGCUGUGAAUAUGGGCUCAUACAUUGUGUUUUUGAACAUGUUGAUAUAAUUCUGUGAAAUGAGAGAAAUGGCCUCAAAUCACCUGGCUGCUUCUGCUUUAUUUUAUGGUUAGAUAUUCAACUGCCAUCACAGACUACAAUAGAGGAAAGCUGCUAUUAUUUAUCAAAGACUAGACCUGCUAGCUGAAGUGCAGUUCACCAUUCACUUGGGUGGUGGUAUGGCUCACCUCCAAAACACUGCUCAUGAGUUGACCUUAUUAUUUUUAUCUGCAUGUCUUGACCUAUAGCGGGCUUAAAAUGUCAUUAUCAACCUAAUGGAAAUACAGAUUUUUCAUUUUUUUCCCUUUCUCUGCCUUCUCUUUUUUCUUUUCUUUUCUUUUUU
rnacentral:lncRNA from 10 species